GAUGAACGCUGGCGGCGUGCCUAAUACAUGCAAGUCGAGCGAACGGGCGAGAAGCUUGCUUCUCUGGUGUUAGCGGCGGACGGGUGAGUAACACGUGGAUAACCUACCUAUAAGACUGGGAUAACUUCGGGAAACCGGAGCUAAUACCGGAUAAUAUUUUGAACCGCAUGGUUCAAAAGUGAAAGACGGUCUUGCUGUCACUUAUAGAUGGAUCCGCGCUGCAUUAGCUAGUUGGUAAGGUAACGGCUUACCAAGGCAACGAUGCAUAGCCGACCUGAGAGGGUGAUCGGCCACACUGGAACUGAGACACGGUCCAGACUCCUACGGGAGGCAGCAGUAGGGAAUCUUCCGCAAUGGGCGAAAGCCUGACGGAGCAACGCCGCGUGAGUGAUGAAGGUCUUCGGAUCGUAAAACUCUGUUAUUAGGGAAGAACAUAUGUGUAAGUAACUGUGCACAUCUUGACGGUACCUAAUCAGAAAGCCACGGCUAACUACGUG
rnacentral:rRNA from 1 species